CGCACAUUGCGCCCCUCGGUAUUCCGUGGGGCAUGCCUGUUCGAGCGUCAUUUGUACCUUCAAGCUCUGCUUGGUGAUGGGUGUUUGUCUUCUCUAUGAGUAGACUCGCCUCAAAAUUAUUGGCAGCCGGCAUAUUAGCCUUUGGAGCGCAGCACAUUUUGCGAUCUAAGCUUGUAUACUGGUGUCCAAAAGACCUUUUAUCACUUUUGACCUCGGAUCAGGUAGGGAUACCCGCUGAACUUAA
rnacentral:misc_RNA from 1 species